CUAAGAAUCUUCCGCAAUGGGCGAAAGCCUGACGGAGCGACGCCGCGUGGACGAUGAAGGCCGAAAGGUUGUAAAGUCCUUUUCUCUGUGAAGAAUAAGUGGGGAGGAAAUGCCCCUAUGAUGACGUUAGCAGAGGAAUAAGCCCCGGCUAAUUACGUGCCAGCAGCCGCGGUAAUACGUAAGGGGCGAGCGUUGUUCGGAAUUAUUGGGUGUAAAGGGUGCGUAGGCGGUUUGACAAGUCUGGUGUUGAAGGCAACGGCUUAACCGUUGUUUGGCGCUGGAAACUGUUGGACUUGAGUUUAGGAGGGGAGCUGGAAUUCCAGGUGUAGGGGUGAAAUCUGUAGAUAUCUGGAAGAACACCGGUGGCGAAGGCGAGCUCCUGGCCAUAGACUGACGCUG
rnacentral:rRNA from 1 species